GCAGUUAUGGCCGAGUGGUUAAGGCGAUGGACUUGAAAUCCAUUGGGAUAAUCUCGCUUAGGUUCGAAACCUACCAACUGCG